UUAAGUUCAGCGGGUAGUCCUACCUGAUUCGAGGCCAGAUGUGAUGAAAAUUGUCCGAAGACGGUUAUGAGCCACUCCGUAUUCGACCUCAGCGCCUUGCGGCUACGGCGUAGAUGUAUUAUCACACCGAGUAACUGAAGCCGAAAGAGCCAGCUAAUACAUUUAAGACGAGCCGAGCGUAAACCCAGCAACGUCCAAGU
rnacentral:misc_RNA from 1 species